rnacentral:rRNA from 1 species
UACGUAGGUGGCAAGCGUUGUCCGGAAUUACUGGGUGUAAAGGGAGCGUAGGCGGGAAGGCAAGUCAAGUGUCAAAUCUAUCGGCUCAACCGAUAGCCGCGCUUGAAACUGUUUUUCUUGAGUGAAGUAGAGGCAGGCGGAAUUCCUAGUGUAGCGGUGAAAUGCGUAGAUAUUAGGAGGAACACCAGUGGCGAAGGCGGCCUGCUGGGCUUUUACUGACGCUGAGGCUCGAAAGCGUGGGUAGCAAACAGGAUUAGAUACCCCGGUAGUCCCU